UGGAUCAGUGAUGACUACUGGUGGGGUAUGAGUCAUGUACAAUGAAUACGUGUCUCGAAUGCUGAGGUUCAA